CCUUCGAUAGCUCAGUUGACAGAGCGGAGGACUGUACCAACAGCGAUCCUUAGGUCGCAGGUUCAAAUCCGGCUCUGAAACGGA